AUUGAACGCUGGCGGCAGGCCUAACACAUGCAAGUCGAGCGAGCGGCGGACGGGUGAGUAAUGUCUGGGACACUGCCUGAUGGAGGGGGAUAACUACUGGAAACGGUAGCUAAUACCGCAUACCAUCGGAUGUGCCCAGAUGGGAUUAGCUAGUAGGUGGGGUAACGGCUCACCUAGGCGACGAGCCCUAGCUGGUCUGAGAGGGUGACCAGCCACACUGGAACUGAGACACGGUCCAGACUCCUACGGGAGGCAGCAGUGGGGAAUAUUGCACAAUGGGCGCAAGCCUGAUGCAGCCAUGCCGCGUGUGUGAAGAAGGCCUUCGGGUUGUAAAGUACUGUCAGCGAGGAGGCGUUACUCGCAGAAGAAGCACCGGCUAACUCCGUGCCAGCAGCCGCGGUAAUUC
rnacentral:rRNA from 1 species